UACAGGGGGUGCAAACGUUGCUCGGAAUUAUUGGGCGUAAAGCGCGCGUAGGCGGCUACUUAAGUCGGAUGUGAAAGCCCCUGGCUUAACUGGGGAAGUGCACCCGAAACUGAGUAGCUAGAGUGCGAAAGAGGGUCGCGGAAUUCCCGGUGUAGAGGUGAAAUUCGUAGAUAUCGGGAGGAACACCAGUGGCGAAGGCGGCGAUCUGGGAAGAUACUGACGCUGAGGUGCGAAAGCGUGGGGAGCAAACAGG
rnacentral:rRNA from 1 species